GCCGCAUCUUGGCCUUUUGGCUAAGAUCAAGUGUAGUAUCUGUUCUUAUCAGUUUAACAUGAAUUUUUCAAGGUCCAUCCAAGAUUGGCUGAAAAUGGUGAAGUCACCAUAUUUUUUUUUAGCUGAAUAGUAUUCCAUUGUGUAUAUAUACUACAACUU
rnacentral:snRNA from 1 species